UAGGGUACACACCAGUGGAGGGUUGCUCCCGGUUCUGUCUGGUUCUUAAGAACUGGUAGUAAAAGCGGCGGGAGGCUCCACCCACCCACCCGGACGUCAGAAUUGACGAUCUGCACAUGUGCGUGCACUCCCGUUGUAAACCGGUAGUAAAGCAUUUUGGAGAACGAGCAUUCUGAAACACAAGACACCUUUCAGAGGAGAUUUGUUGUGACCUAGAAGUAUGAUGUCCGUUUUGCAAGCCAAGGUUCCAGCUUCAAGCCUCAGCAUUUCCAGGCUAAAGGAAGAUGUUUGGAUAGCAAUCCUAUAAACCCAACACAGAAACAGAAACCUUUCUAAAUAUUUCCUCAGCUGCAAAUUUAAACUUUACAGGUUUACUGGAUUCUUGUUGUCCUAUUUCUUGAUUAAUAUCCCAAUAAGUGUCCUGAAACAUGAUGAAUUGGAUGCACUGUUCACGCCAAUCAUCUGAAAGCAAGUGACAAAACCAAAAGCUGAAGUUGGACAGAAGGCUGAAAGCCCGUUAUCCAGUAUGUCUACUGAAAUUUAUCCUAAAGUUCUAAGAGCCUGGAAAGAUAAAGAAAAAAGUGAAAUCCAUCCUGUCUGAGCACCUGAAGAUCUGAGGAGUUUGGAACCAAAAGCCAAUGGAUUGAAAUAUGAUACUGAUGCAAUAGGACCUCAGUUCUGAAAAUGGUGCCAGGUGGCUCAGCAGACUGAUAGCAUUGUGAUUAACACCAGCUGUCUGCAAUUACUGUAAGUUCGAAUCUCACCAGGCUCAAGGUUGACUCAGCCUUCCAGCCUUUCUAAGUUGCCACACAGAGGGAGAAGAGGGGGAAGGAGGUUGGAAUGCAUUACUAGACACAACAAAGAACUUUCUCCUAAGAAGCAAGGUCGUCUCUACUAGCAACAGAUAAGGUUGGGGAAGGAGUGCCUGAAGAGCCCGCCAAUUAAUCCAAUUGGCCAACAUGACCUGUAACACUUGGGGAUGGGGUUAUUUCCUAGUUUAAUUAUACUGAAAACGCAGGAAAGAUUUAGAUUUGGUUUUCCAUUGAAGCUGUGCCCAUAUGAUGUACUCAUUAAAGAAGACCUUUGAGAAAAAGCCAAGUCUCAGAGUUCUGAUUUGCUUGGGUUGUUACUUGGAGCCUUGACAAUAUAUAUCAUUCUGUUCAGUGGCUGUUGUUCCAAUCUCCUCACUUGAUACAGAACUGCCAAAUAUUUUCUCUUUAAUGGGAGUGGGCAGGAAGAAAAGAGAUGGCUUUGAUGUGGCGGUCCUUCCUAAGGGCAAUAAUAAGGCUAAGAAGGAAAUGACUGUUCACACACACAUAAUGUAAUGUUUCUCUUUAAAAUGUGUUCAAAGGCAGGCUUUCCAACUUUGCUGAAUUCUGCCCCUCCCUGGGCACAA